UGAGGAAUAUUGGUCAAUGGGGGCAACCCUGAACCAGCCAAGUCGCGUGAAGGAUGAAGGUCUUAUGGAUUGUAAACUUCUUUUAUACAGGAAUAAAUUGGGGGACGUGUCCCCUUUUGCAUGUACUGUAUGAAUAAGGAUCGGCUAACUCCGUGCCGGCAGCCGCGGUAAUACGGAGGAUCCGAGCGUUAUCCGGAUUUAUUGGGUUUAAAGGGUGCGCAGGCGGGAUGUUAAGUCGGCGGUGAAAUUUUGCAGCUCAACUGUAAAAGUGCCUUCGAUACUGGCCUCCUUGAGUGUGGAUGAAGUAGGCGGAAUUUGCGGUGUAGCGGUGAAAUGCUUAGAUAUCACGAGGAACUCCGAUUGCGCAGGCAGCUUACUAAGCCACAACUGACGCUCAUGCACGAAGGCGUGGGGAUCAAACA
rnacentral:rRNA from 1 species